CUGCCAGCGUGUCCGUGUCGGCUGCUUCUUUCGGAGGGAGCCAGUGGGGGGACGGGAGUCUCAGCAGGCUGGGGUGUUGCACUUUUCCUUUUGUCUGCAGCCUGAUGUUUGCUUUGUGCUGAAGGAAGACCGUGAUGAUAAUCGUAGCAAUCAGCCCCAAAUACAAACAGGAUGUGGAAGGCGCUGAGUCGCAGCUGGACGAGGAUGAGCACGGCUUACAUACUAAGUACAUUCAUCGAAUGAUGCAGAUUGAGUUCAUAAAACAAGGAAGCAUGAAUUUCAGAUUCAUCCCUGUGCUCUUCCCAAAUGCUAAGAAGGAGCAUGUGCCCACCUGGCUUCAGAACACUCACGUCUACAGCUGGCCCAAGAAUAAAAAAAACAUCCUGCUGCGGCUGCUGAGAGAGGAAGAAUAUGUGGCUCCUCCACGGGGGCCUCUGCCCACCCUUCAGGUGGUUCCCUUGUGACACCGUUCAUCCCCAGAUCAUUGAGGCCAGGCCAUGUUUGGGGCCCUGUUCUGACAGCAUUCUAGCUGAGGCUGGUCGUUAGCACUCCUGGCUGGUUUUUUCUCUGUUCCUCCCGGAGAGGCCCUCUGGCCCCCAGGAAACCUGUUGUGCAGAGCUCUUCCCCGGAGACCUCCACACACCUUGGCUUUGAAGUGGAGUCUGUGGCUGCUCUGCAUUCUCUGCUUUUAAAAAACCCACUGCAGGUGCCAGUGUCCCACAUGUUCCUCCUGACAGUUUGAUGUGUCCAUUCUGGGCCUCUCAGUGCUUAGCAAGUAGAUAAUGUAAGGGAUGUGGCAGCAAAUGGAAAUGACUACAAACACUCUCCUAUCACUUCAGGCUACUUU
rnacentral:sRNA from 1 species